rnacentral:rRNA from 1 species
AACGAACGCUGGCGGCAUGCCUAACACAUGCAAGUCGAACGAGACCUUCGGGUUUAGUGGCGCACGGGUGCGUAACGCGUGGGAACCUGCCCUUAGGUUCGGAAAAACUCCCCGAAAGGGGUGCUAAUACCGGAUAAUGUCUUCGGACCAAAGAUUUAUCGCCUUUGGAUGGGCCCGCGUUGGAUUAGCCUGUUGGUAGGGUAAAAGCCUACCAAGGCGACGAUCCAUAGCUGGUCUGGGAGGAUGAUCCGCCACACUGGGACUGAGACACGGCCCAGACUCCUACGGGAGGCAGCCGUGGCGAAUAUUGGACUAUGGGCGAAAGCCUGAUCCAGCAAUGCCGCGUGAGUGAUGAAGGCCUUAGGGUUGUAAAGCUCUUUUACCCGGGAUGAUAAUGACAGUACCGGGAGAAUAAGCACCGGCUAACUCCGUG